rnacentral:tRNA from 1 species
AUUACAUCAGUGUAAAUUGUGAAUGCAUAUGAACUUUUCGUGUUCAAGGAAGCGGUAAAUUGCUAUGUAAUA